rnacentral:rRNA from 1 species
UACGAAGGGGGCUAGCGUUGCUCGGAAUUACUGGGCGUAAAGGGAGCGUAGGCGGGUUAUCAAGUUGGAGGUGAAAGCCCAGGGCUCAACCUUGGAAUUGCCUUCAAAACUGAUAGCCUAGAGUAUGAUAGAGGUAAGUGGAACUCCGAGUGUAGAGGUGAAAUUCGUAGAUAUUCGGAAGAACACCAGUGGCGAAGGCGACUUACUGGAUCAUGACUGACGCUGAGGCUCGAAGGCGUGGGGAGCAAACAGG